UGGGGAUUGCACCCUACUUUGCUUCUUUAUGAUGUAUAUGGGUAAAAUAUCACAGUCUCCCAAGAAAAACAGUAUCUUUCCUCUAAGGGAUGGGUCUUGGUCUCUAGAAGGUUUUGCAAUAUAUGUCUGUGGAAUGGGAGCGUGGCAGUGAAGGGAGGCCAAGUGCAGAGAAACAGAAGAGACGGGGAAAUGCUAGGUUCACUAGCCAUUAGAAACAAUGGCAUAACAGCAACAGCUAUCACACCCAUACAAUGCUGGCAUCCUAUUGCUGACACAAGGAAAUUGGUGAUAUGGAUUGGAAAGAAACAGCAUGUAUACACUAUUACUUCUGGCAUACAUUGGCUUUUUAAGAGCACUCUCCUUUCAAGAGGAUCAAAGGAUUUCAUGUGCUUAUUUUGGGUGAGGAAAAGAACUGAGAACCAGAGAUCUCGGCUUGAGACUGUUAACAUACCAGGAGAAAAUACUGCAUUUAUACAGCAAGUUUAUCCGAAUUUGUGUUAGAUCGGGUCGCGGUAUAUCGGGUUAGAAGUGUACUAAAUUAAUAAAGAACCUCAUAAAUGUAGCCACCUCUGAAGUAGAGGGCAGCAGUGGGUACUAAGUACAUGGCAGUGGGUAGAGGCUGGCAAUGGGUACUAAGUACAUGGCCGAACAAUAUUCUUAUAAACUGCAACCAGCCAGUAGUAUGAGCAAUAUGCUCAUGCAUACAGUAUAAAUUAGGAGUAAAUCCAUUUAAGUUAAUGAUGUUUCACUGUUGCCACCUCAGCGUAAAUAAGAUGGAGAAUCAAGGCUCACACUGCCUGAUCAUACUCCCAUUGACUGACAUUAAAGGCAAAAAUUUCAUUGGGAGUAGAACUGUGCCCCAAAAACUCACAACAAAAAAUAAUACUCUUGCUUAAUUACAAGCUAUUUGCUUCAAAUACAGCCAAUGCAUGAGUUAGAAAGGAAAGAUGAAGGGUUAUUAAGGAGACAAAUCCGAUUAGUUUUCUUUUCUAAGUGACCUAUAACUGAAAAGCAGUUUGACCAAUUUCCUCCAGACUUUCUAUAAACAAUCUCCUUUGCCUUCAGAGAAAUAUGGCAAUAUUCAAGCCAAACCAUUUUUCCAAGCCAAAGUUACCGGGAGGCUAAAAUAGGCUUUAUAUUGGAAGCUGACCGCUGCCUUAGCUAUGGAGAGGUAAUUGUCCCUCCCACUUCCCCCCUUAACUAUAGUAUUCCAAUAAUAGUCUAUUGAAGUGGAUGCUUCAUUUAUGAAGGAAAAAAGCUUAACAUAUCUUUCAUUGCUGAUGCCUGAAUAUAUUAAAUUGCAAUAUAAAUAAAGUGAAAAAAGG